UGGGGAAUAUUGGACAAUGGGCGCAAGCCUGAUCCAGCAAUGCCGCGUGUGUGAAGAAGGCCUGCGGGUUGUAAAGCACUUUCAGGGGGGAAGAAAGGGUCGGGGUUAAUACCCCUGGCUUCUGACGUUACCCCAGCAAGAAGCACCGGCUAACUCCGUGCCAGCAGCCGCGGUAAUACGGAGGGUGCAAGCGUUAAUCGGAAUCACUGGGCGUAAAGCGCACGUAGGCGGCACGUUAAGUCAGCUGUGA
rnacentral:rRNA from 1 species